rnacentral:rRNA from 1 species
CCCUUAGAUGUUCUGGGCCGCACGCGCGCUACACUGAUUCAUGCAACAAGUUUUGUCCUUGGCUGAUAGGCCUGGGUAAUCUUUGAACGUGAAUCGUGAUGGGGAUAGAUGAUUGCAAUUAUUCAUCUUCAACGAGGAAUUCCUAGUAAACGCAAGUCAUCAGCUUGCAUUGAUUACGUCCCUGCCCUUUGUACACACCGCCCGUCGCACCUACCGAUUGAAUGGUCCGGUGAAAUCUUCGGAUCUGAGAGAUGCCUGAUUAAUUUCGGACGCCUUUUGGAAAAGUUGCUUAAACCUUACCAUUUAGAGGAAGGUGAANUCGUAACA